rnacentral:rRNA from 1 species
GUUGUUUUUCCGAAAAUCAAUUACGAAUGGCUUGAUUUUGUGUUGUAUUGACCUUAUCAGCUUUCUUCACUUUUUUCGAGUCUUUCUUAAUGCACUUUUCGGUUAACAAGUCAACAUCAAUUUCUUUUGUUGUAAAGGAGUAUUCGGAAGGUGGCUUUCUUUUCGGAGAAAGUGUUUAUAGCCCUAUACUUCUACAAUCGGAGAGAUUGAGGUCUGCAGCGUAGAUCCUUCGGGGUUAGAUACAUUUGUGCUAAGUUGUAGCUUUUCAUAGACAACUUGUUGACUAUGUUUAGUCAUGCGGCUUACUCGCUUAUGCUAUUUUACCUAC